UUAUACAGGAACAGAUACAUAUAAUCACAAAAUGGAAUGAUACAAAAAAGAUUUGUAUGGCCCCUGCACAAGGAUGCAAAUUUUUACAAUGUUUCAUACAAGUUACAA